rnacentral:rRNA from 1 species
GGCUAACUCCGUGCCAGCAGCCGCGGUAAUACGGAGGGUGCGAGCGUUAAUCGGAAUUACUGGGCGUAAAGCGCAUGCAGGCGGCCUGUUAAGUCAGAUGUGAAAGCCCGGGGCGUUAACCUCGGAAUUGCAUUUGUAAACUGGCAGGCUAGAGUCUUGUAGAGGGGGGUAGGAAUUUCAGGUGUAGCGGUGAAAUGCGUAGAGAUCUGAAGGAAUACCAGUGGCGAAGGCGGCCCCCCUCGGACAAAGACUGACGCUCAGAUUCGCGAAAGCGUGGGGAGCAAACCAGGAUUAGAUACCCCUGGUAG